rnacentral:rRNA from 1 species
AUUGAACGCUGGCGGUAUGCUUUACACAUGCAAGUCGAACGGCAGCACGGGUGCUUGCACCUGGUGGCGAGUGGCGGACGGGUGAGUAAUACAUCGGAACGUGUCCAGAAGAGGGGGAUAACGCAUCGAAAGAUGUGCUAAUACCGCAUAUGUUCUGAGGAGGAAAGUAGGGGAUCGAAAGACCUUACGCUUUUGGAGCGGCCGAUGUCUGAUUAGCUAGUUGGUGGGUAAGGGCCUACCAAGGCGACGAUCAGUAGUUGGUCUGAGAGGACGACCAGCCACACUGGGACUGAGACACGGCCCAGACUCCUACGGGAGGCAGCAGUGGGGAAUUUUGGACAAUGGGCGCAAGCCUGAUCCAGCCAUGCCGCGUGAGUGAAGAAGGCCUGG